rnacentral:rRNA from 1 species
UACGUAGGGGGCAAGCGUUGUCCGGAAUCAUUGGGCGUAAAGAGCGUGUAGGCGGUUCGGUAAGUCGGCUGUGAAAGUCCAGGGCUCAACCCUGGGAUGCCGGUCGAUACUGCCGGACUAGAGUUCGGAAGAGGCGAGUGGAAUUCCCGGUGUAGCGGUGAAAUGCGCAGAUAUCGGUAGGAACACCUAUGGCGAAGGCAGCUCGCUGGGACGUUACUGACGCUGAGACGCGAAAGCGUGGGGAGCAAACAGG